rnacentral:tRNA from 1 species
AUUUAUAUAGUUUAAUUAAAAACAUUACACUUUCACUGUAAAAAUAAAAUACAUAAUUUUUAUAAAUA